AGUGAGUUAAUAACUGAAAGCAGCGCAAAUGUUUUUAUGGAAUAUAGUAAGUGCUAUACCCACAUCUAUAGCUAAAGAUUUUACAGCAGUCGUAAUUUCCAUGUGAAUUUAUUAUCUGCAACUUCAGAUCUUUAGAGGAGUUUAGGUUGGAAGUAUUCCCCAGUGCGGCAGUAUUUCUGAAUAACCUUGAGUUUGGAUUUCUGAUUCUAGAACUAUGUACACAGUGAGUGUAUGUGAUUCACCGGUGACUGUUUAAUGUGUUUCCCAAAGAGGGAAAUCGAAAGAGAGGAAGAAGGGAGAGGCAACUCUGCCUAGUGAAAAUGAACCAGAUGGUUAGAGAGACGCAUAAAACACUUUCAGGAGGCAGGAAAGAGGAAAAUGAUCAGAAGAGGAUCAAUAAAAGGUCAUAUUUUUUCUUUACCUUGGAAGUAACUCUUAAAGGAGAUUGACUAUAACGUGCACCGACAUUCAUUUUUUUUCCAGAGGAAAUUGCAAUAUCUGAUGUCUUAAUAUGCAAUAUGAAGUGUUCCUUCAAGUAGUCUCUCAAGAGGCAGAAAAGGAUGAGGAAAUUACAGACAGCUCUUGACUGCAGACCGCCCGCGUGCAUUUCCUGAUCUCUAGAAGCUGUCAGGGGUGAGCUGAAGAAGGGAGAGGAAUCAAAACCCGAAUCAGCCAACUUUGCUGCUUACUAGACUCUCUGGAAAAAUAUCUUGGGAGGGAAAGCCUGGAGUUAUUGACUAACAUGAAAUGUUUAGUGUUUCACUCCUUCUGAACAAUUCACAUCCCAUAUCUCAGAUGACAGAAAGUGAAGCAUCACUUUGAUAUUCUAAUUUUGAAAAUUCUUGAAGGAUCCCAAAGUCAGAACAUGAGGACAUUAUGAAGGAUAUUUGAAAUGAUGAAUGGGUUGCCCAUUAUUUAUCUCCACGCAUUCCUGUUUUCCUGACAUUCAUUACUUUUCCUUUAAUUCUGGGAGAUGAUUAUCUCCUGGCAUGAUGCCAGAGUCUCUGGGAGUAAAAACUGAUGAAUCACAUGGCAAUGAAAAUGCUUUUCAAAAUUUGUAUUUUUGAAUGUUUAUUAACUAUUUUGCAGAAUCUUGUUUUCCAUGUAAAGGGUGUGUUUAUUUCAUAAUGAAAGUCAAGCUGACAUCUCUUUUCACUGGUUUUCAUCAGCACUGCUAGAAGGUAAUCAAAUUUGGUUCAUAAAACUAGGAAAUCUUGUUUCUUUGAGUUUUUCCCAGACUUUGUCACGUAGGGAAAAGAUUCAGUCCCAGCCUACUGGAUCCUCAAACCUCUUAUGGCAGGACUGUAAUAAUUGGUCUUUAGCACAAAAGACUCUUUGUGUUUCAGUCAUUAUUGUUUCCAGAAAGUAUAUUGUGUUGAAUAUCAAGAGCAUCUGGAAAGAGCUAUUAUUAAAUAAGGAAAUUUCAUAUGCUGUUCAGGAAAGACCUUUAUCAUUUCAGUUAAAUUUUGCAUUUUUUAUUUGAAAAUAAAUUGCAAGUUCGUUACUGACAGGGUUCAGAACAUGUUACCUCAAAAUAUGGCACCUUGAUAUAUUGAAUAUUUUAAGCUGAAGAAGUUUGAGAAAAGGUCAGAAGCAGUAAAGUCUCUCUGACCUUCACCUGCCCUUUCCCCCUGAAGUAGUUUGCAAGACUCUCACGUGAGAAGUGCCCUCGCUGUACGUGGAAGAAAGGAGCAGCCUUGUCUCUCAGAUUGAGGGAAAAGGAUCCAAAUAAACAGGCCUUACUGAAUUCCUCCCACUUAUUACGUUUAGUUUAUACCUAAUUUAUUCUAUCCUUUUCUCCAUGACUGUCCACUCUUCAUCUAACCUGGCAUGAAAACACUCAGGUGUAACCAUUUUUUUGACUCUUCAUUUCUUUAAGGAGGCUCCUGUGUCACAUAAAACUUAUUUUUUUAAAACUUAUAUUAAAUAAAUUUGCAUACUUUUCUCUUGUUAA